CAGCGGAGGGAUCAUUACAGAGUUACUACUCCAAACCCAUUGUGAACCUUACCUAUGUUCUGUUGCCUCGGCGGCGUGGUCAGCGCCCCCUCUGAAAAGAGGACGAUGCCCUCCCGCCGGCAGCACCAAACUCUUUGAAUUUUACAGCGGAUUACAGUUCUGAUUUGAAAACAAAAAACAAGUUAAAACUUUCAACAACGGAUCUCUUGGUUCUGGCAUCGAUGAAGAACGCAGCGAAAUGCGAUAAGUAAUGUGAAUUGCAGAAUUCAGUGAAUCAUCGAAUCUUUGAACGCACAUUGCGCCCGGCAGUAAUCUGCCGGGCAUGCCUGUCCGAGCGUCAUUUCAACCCUCGAACCUCCGUUUCCUCAGGGAAGCUCAGGGUCGGUGUUGGGGCGCUACGGCGAGUCUUCGCGACCCUCCGUAGGCCCUGAAAUACAGUGGCGGUCCCGCCGCGGUUGCCUUCUGCGUAGUAAGUCUCUUUUGCAAGCUCGCAUUGGGUCCCGGCGGAGGCCUGCCGUCAAACCACCUAUAACUCCAGAUGGUUUGACCUCGGAUCAGGUAGGGUUACCCGCUGAACUUAAGCAUAUCAAUAAGGCGGAGGAA
rnacentral:rRNA from 1 species